AUGGUAGCAGAUCAGCGCCCCAACGCCCAAGGAUAUGCUAGAGACUUGCAUGUGAAUGCCCAAGAAGCACAGGAGGCUAGAACUAGUGCGUGUGCUUUUCCUGCACCUUCCGCUGCUAGUUGGCUCCCUCCACAAGAGAGUGAUGCAAAAUUGAAUGUGGACGGCGGCAUAUGCAGGAGAGGCGAUCGAGGGGCUGCAGCUGUUAUAUGCCGAGACAAGACUGGUCAGUACUUGGGGGCUUCGGCGAUGGUUUUCGACGGUCUCGUCGACCCGGCGACUCUUGAAGCCCGAGCGUGCAGUGAAGCACUGGCGCUAGCAUCAGACCUAAACCUCCAGUCUAUUUGUGUGGCGUCUGACUGCGCAGAGGUGGUCGCAAAUCUGGAGACUGGAGGUCCGUGCCGCUACUCUAUGAUUUGUGAGGAGUUCAGAGCACAAAGAGUUCCUUUUGAUUGUAUUCGAGUAGUUCAUGAGAGGAGGAUUCAUAAUGCUGAGGCCCAUUCGUUGGCCAAAGCGGCCUCCUCUCUCUCUUCUGGGCGCCACGUGUGGCUAGAUGUUUUGCCCAAUAUCAUCUGUAUUCCGUCGAAACUUGAUACUUAA
rnacentral:rRNA from 1 species